CCUACGGGUGGCAGCAGUCGAGAAUCAUUCACAAUGGGGGCAACCCUGACGGAGCGACGCCGCGUGGGGGAAUGAAGGUCUCCGGAUUGUAAACUCCUGUCAUGUGGGAGCAAAUUAUAAAGAUAGUACCACAAGAGGAAGAGACGGCUAACUCUGUGCCAGCAGCCGAGGUAAUACAGAGGUCUCAAGCGUUGUCCGGAUUCACUGGGCGUAAAGCGUGCGUAGGCGGUUUAGUAAGUCAGAUGUGAAAGGGGAGGGCUCAACCCGCGGACGGCAAAUGAUACUGCGUGACUUGAGUAAUGGAGAGGAAACCGGAAUUCUCGGUGUAGCGGUGAAAUGCGUAGAUA
rnacentral:rRNA from 1 species